GCCCGAGUGGCUCAGUCCGUAAAGCAGUUAAGCAUCUGACUUUGGCUCAGGUCAUGAUCUCACGGUUCGUGAGUUCAAGCCCCACUUCGGGCU
rnacentral:tRNA from 1 species